GGUGGUAUAGCCAAGUGGUAAGGCAGAAGCCUGCAAAGCUUCCAUUCCCCAGUUCAAAUCUGGGUACCACCU
rfam:Criblamydia sequanensis, CRIB-18, WGS project CCEJ01000000 data, contig: 3